rnacentral:rRNA from 1 species
CCCAAACCUAUAAAAACAACAACCUACUAUUAAUACCCUAACAUUUUAUAUAAAACAAAUCAUUUUCCCACUUAAGUAUGGGAGACAGAAAAAGGCACACGGAGCAAUAGAAAAAGUACCGCAGGGGAAGGCUGAAAUAGAAAUGAAAUAAACUGUAAAGGAUAAAACAGCAGAGAUUAUACUC